rnacentral:rRNA from 1 species
CCUACGGGUGGCAGCAGUGAGGAAUAUUGGUCAAUGGGCGAGAGCCUGAACCAGCCAAGUAGCGUGAAGGAUGACUGCCCUACGGGUUGUAAACUUCUUUUAUAAAGGAAUAAAAUGAGGCACGGUUUCCUUUUUGUAUGUACUUAAUGAAUAAGGAUCGGUUAAAUCAGUGCAGGCAGCAGCGUUAAGACGGAGGAUCCGAGCGUUAUCCGGAUUAAUUGGGUUUAAAGGGAGCGUAGAUGGUUUGUUAAUCAAGUUGUGCAUGUUUGCGGCUCAACCGUAACAUUGCAGUUGAUACUGGCAGCCGUGAGUACAGUUGAGGUAGGCGGAAUUCGUGGUGUAGCGGUGAAAUGCUUAGAUAUCACGAAGAACUCCGAUUGCGAAGGCAGCUUACUAAACAGCCACUGACAUUGAUGCUCGAAAGUGUGGGUAUCAAACAGGAGUAGAUACCCCAGUAGUC